AUGGAUCCAAUUGUGCGACAACAGGUCGAAAUAAUGUCAUCCGUGUCUGAAGUGUGGACCGCCUUGGAGAACCAAUUCGCUGGGAAAUCAAACAAAAUGCAGGCAACCCGCAUUAUGGAGGAAUUAACUCAUCUAAAUCAGGGCACAAAGUCUGUACCAGAGUAUGCUGGUGAAUUGAAACGGUUGUACAGGGACCUGCACUACUAUCAUCCUUUUCAAGCAGUUGACAAGAGAGAUCUAGCCAUUCAUCACAAAUGGUUUGAGACGAUUGUGGCCAAGCUAUUUCUAGAUGGACUAAACCAGGAGCUUAACCUUCGGCGACAACUUAUAUUCUCUCAACCAGAAUGGCCAAGUCUCGAUGAUAUUAUUUCCAGUGUGCUUGAGGAAGAAACUCGGUUGGCUCAACCUAAGGAGGAUGAUCUAAAAUGUGCAGAUGACCAUGCGGCUUUAUCUAUGCAAUACCGCCGUACUCCCAGGCCCUUUGGCAAGAUACACAAAAACAAGUUGCUUUGUGAUCAUUGUAAAAGAAAAGGACACACAAAGGAUGGAUGUUUUGAGCUGCAUGGAUAUCCAUCUUGGUGGGAAAAAGGAAAACCUCGGACAGGGGGAGUUCAAUGUGUGAAUAGAAGGCAAGCUAACCACACCACGUCUCUACGGGGGCCACCAGUGGUAGAUGUACGAGCUCUUGAGGAGUUCAACUCCAAGCUUAAACUCUCAGAAAGCUCAUCUUCCUCGCAAGGCACCUCUAAGGUUGAUUCCAAUCUAAUUGCCACUUCUCACCAAGGAGCUAGGGACUGGGAGACAAUUGGGGACUGGGACCGAGCAUGA
rnacentral:rRNA from 1 species